CGCCUCUUGCAAACCCAAGAAUAAGAGGUCCAGCCUGCCCAGUGACUAUAAGUUCAACGGCCGCGGUAUUUUAACCGUGCAAAGGUAGCGUAAUCACUUGUCUUUUAAAUGAAGACCCGUAUGAAUGGCUAGACGAGGGCUUAACUGUCUCCUCCUUCAGGUCAAUGAAAUUGAUCUCCCCGUGCAGAAGCGGGGAUGGUACCAUAAGACGAGAAGACCCUAUGGAGCUUCAGACACCCGAGCAUAUCAUGUUAAACACCCUAAGAUAAAAGGUUAAACUUUGUGAACAAAUGCUGCCGUGUCUUCGGUUGGGGCGACCCCGGGGAAACAAAAAACCCCCGCGUGGAAUGAGAGUACUAACUCCCAAAGCUAAGAGCUACCGCUCUAAUAAUCAGAACAUCUGACCAAACCAGAUCCGGUAUAACCGAUCAACGAACCAAGUUACCCUAGGGAUAACAGCGCAAUCCCCUUUUAGAGCCCUUAUCGACAAGGGGGUUUACGACCUCGAUGUUGGAUCAGGACAUCCUAAUGGUGCAGCCGCUAUUAAGGGUUCGUUUGUUCAACGAUUAAAGUCCUACGUGAUCUGAGUUCAGACCGGAGAAAUCCAGGUC
rnacentral:rRNA from 2 species